rnacentral:misc_RNA from 1 species
GUGAAUCAUCGAAUCUUUGAACGCACAUUGCGCCCGCCAGUAUUCUGGCGGGCAUGCCUGUUCGAGCGUCAUUUCAACCCUCAAGCCCCAGUGGCUUGGUGUUGGGGACCGGCGACCUCGCCUGCACCUGGUGCAAGCGUCCGCCGCCCCCGAAAUGAAUUGGCGGCCUCGUCGCGGCCUCCUCUGCGUAGUAGCACAACCUCGCAACAGGAGCGCGACGCGGCCACUGCCGUAAAACGCCCAACUUUUUUAGAGUUGACCUCGGAUCAGGUAGGAAUACCCGCUGAACUUAGGCAUAUC